CACGUAGGGCGCAAGCGUUGUCCGGAAUUAUUGGGCGUAAAGAGCUCGUAGGCGGUCUGUUGCGUCCGCUGUGAAAACUCGGGGCUUAACCCCGAGCCUGCAGUGGAUACGGGCAGACUAGAGGUAGGUAGGGGAGAAUGGAAUUCCCGGUGUAGCGGUGAAAUGCGCAGAUAUCGGGAGGAACACCGGUGGCGAGGGCGGUUCUCUGGGACGGUACUGACGCUGAGACGCGAAAGCGUGGGGAGCGAACAGG
rnacentral:rRNA from 1 species